rnacentral:rRNA from 1 species
GAUGAACGCUAGCGACAGGCUUAACACAUGCAAGUCGAGGGGCAGCAUAGAAGUAGCAAUACUUUGGUGGCGACCGGCGCACGGGUGAGUAACGCGUAUGCAACCUACCUAUCAGAGGGGAAUAACCCGGCGAAAGUCGGACUAAUACCGCAUAAAACAGGGGCACCGCAUGGUGAUAUUUGUUAAAGAAAUUCGCUGAUAGAUGGGCAUGCGUUCCAUUAGGUAGCUGGUGAGGUAACGGCUCACCAAGCCGACGAUGGAUAGGGGAACUGAGGGGUUGGUCCCCCACACUGGGACUGAGACACGGACCAGACUCCGACGGGUGGCUGCAGUCGAGAAUCUUUCGCAAUGGGGGAAACCCUGACGACGCGACGCCGCGUGGAGGAUGAAGGCCUUCGGGGUGUAAACUCCUGUCAGCAGGGGAGAACAAGCUUUUGAUGAAUAAUCGAGAGCUUUGACAGUACCUGCAGAGGAAGCCACGGCUAACUCUGUGCCAGCCGCCGCCGUAACAC